rnacentral:misc_RNA from 1 species
UUUCCGUAGGUGAACCUGCGGAAGGAUCAUUAUUGGAUUUUGAAACUUCAGGCUGCUGCUGGCUCUCCUCGGAGGGCAUGUGCACGCUUGUUGUCCAUUAUUUCUCCCACUGUGCACAAAUUGUAGACCUUUCAGUAGGCCUAUGUUGUUUUUCACAAUCUCUGAAUGUAAUAGAAUGGUUUUGAAUCUUGGGAAAUACAAUACAACUUUCAGCAACGGAUCUCUUGGCUCUCGCAUAGAUGAAGAACGCAGC